AGAGAAUACUGGCCGUGCCAGUUCAGUGAUCUCUUGCUGCAGCCAUCCAUCCUGUGACAGUUCUCUUAUACCGGGUUGAUAUUCAAAUAGAUGAAGAUAAUACUGGCCAUACCAGUUUCAGUGAUAACUGAUGAUCAGAUAUGCCAUUCAUCCUGUGACAGUUCUCUCAGGCCACGUUGAUAGUCAAAUAGUUAAUAGUUAAAGGGAACACUGGCCGUGCCAGUUCAGUGAUCUCUGCUGCUGAUGCCAUCCUUUUUAUGACAGUUCUCUCAAACCAUGUUGAUAGUCAAAAUAAAUGAUGAUAAUCUGUCAGCGGACACUUGGUUGUGUGGUUAGAGUACCCGCGCCGUGAUUCGUUGAGUCGCACGUUCAAGUCUCUUGCUGGAAGUUCAUUUUGAAUUUUCGCCUUUUGCGCGGAAAACUGUUUCUGUUGAUUAUUUAAAUUCGUAUUUUGUAACCGGAAUUAUAUAUGUAUUGGUGUCGUGGUUAGCACGCUCGCCGUGUAAUCAUGAAGUCGGUGGUUCGAUACUCCAUCCAGACAAAUGUUUUACUGAUUUUUUUUUUCGCCAAUCAAUA